UUAAACGGCCGCGGUAUUCUAACCGUGCAAAGGUAGCGUAAUCACUUGUCUUCUAAAUAAAGACUAGUAUGAACGGCUAAAUGAGGAUAAACCUGUCUCCUACAACCUAUCAGUGAAACUGAUCUUUCAGUCCAAAAGCUGAAAUAUAAACACAAGACGAGAAGACCCUGUGGAGCUUAAGAUUAACUGUUAAUAAGUCAAAAGACACCUAAUGCAAAAUCUUAAGUUGGGGCGACUUCGGAAAAGAAUAAAACUUCCGAGCAUAGAGACACAAUCUCUAACAAAGGCAGACAUGCCAAAGAACCGGUCCGACCCAGUCAUACUGAUCAACGAACCAAGUUACCCCAGGGAUAACAGCGCUAUCUUCUUCAAGAGUCCAUAUCGACAAGAAGGUUUACGACCUCGAUGUUGGAUCAGGACACCCAAAUGGUGCAGCCGCUAUUAAAGGUUCGUUUGUUCAACGAUUAA
rnacentral:rRNA from 1 species